GUGACCCCAGGUCAGGCGGGACCACCCGCUGAGUUUAAGCAUAUCAAUAA
rnacentral:rRNA from 4 species